AUUGAACGCUGGCGGCAGGCCUAACACAUGCAAGUCGAACGAGUGGCGGACGGGUGAGUAAUGUCUGGGAAACUGCCCGAUGGAGGGGGAAAACUACUGGAAACGGUAGCUAAUACCGCAUACCAUCGGAUGUGCCCAGCUGGGAUUAGCUAGAUGGGGGGGUAACGGCUCACCUAGGCGACGAUCCCUAGCUGUUCUGAGAGGAUGACCAGCCAACAUGGAACUGAGAAACGGCCAGGACUCCAACGGGAGGCAGCAGUGGGGAAUAUUGCACAAGGGGCGCAAGCCUGAUGCAGCCAUGCCGCGUGUAUGAAGAAGGCCUUCGGGUUGUAAAGUACUUUCAUCGGGGAGGCGUUACUCGCAGAAGAAGCAUCGGCUAACUCCGUGCCAGCAGCCGCGGUAAUUC
rnacentral:rRNA from 1 species